AGGUCUUGAGAUGGGCAACAGAGCUAGAAGACCCCGCUCGGUACCCCAAGUGCUCGUGCUAGUGAUGUCAUUAAGCUACUAGAGCAUAUUAAUGAGAUUUUUUUCUAAGAUCUGCCCUUUUCCCUCCCCCAGACCCCCAGCAGCUAUCUCCUCAGUAACACACACAUGGGCCUUGGUAUCUGACACCCAUCAGCCAGCUUCACGGGGAAGAAGCCACCUCCACUCUUAACUUGAUGUUUCAACUUUUUUUUUUUUUUUUAACUUUUCCUACCUUCUUGUCCCUCACCCGCCGCCCCUCCGCCCACUCGCUCACUCACUCUCACUCACCCGCCCUGCUCCACACUUCUUCGGUAGUAAAUGACACCAUCACCAGCAGUCUACACCCGCAGUUAACAGGCAUUGAACUGAAAGAACCAGUGAGGACGUUUUGGUACGCCCUCGCCGGGUGGGUAAGUGGCAACGCUUUGCCAAAUAUUAACGAAGCCAAUCAAAAAGCAGCAGCAGCCACAGUAUCACUGCACAUAUAUAUAUAUAGAUAUAUAAAUAUAAUAUAAAUAUUUAUUUUUUGUAGCCAGGUCCUUGGUGCAGUAUUUAUACUCCACAAUUCACCUUUAAAAAAGGACAAAAAGCAAAAAGACGUGUGAUGCUGUUAACUUAAAAUGCAGAGCCAAAGCCACUGAGCAGCAGCUGACACGGUUGCUGGUUUGUGUGUGCAAAACACCUUCCCCUCUUCUUCCCUUAACCUCCUUGCUGCUCAGGCUGAGGAGACUCCGUAAUUCAGAGGGCGAGAGCAGCGAAACCUUCCCGAGUCAACGUGACCUACUCCCACUUCUCUAAAUGAGCCACUUUCGGUGUCGGAAGUUGACUGGGGAGAAGUAAGCAGAAGCUCCCGGUCAAAGCCCCUGGAACGACAGUGCCCAGAGUUCUGUUCUUUUCCGCCGCAACCCGUGUAAAUUUGUAAAAGACCACUAGUGAAGAUGAGUGUAUUAGUGAAUGCAUGGAGGCCAACACUGCUCUAAAUGAGACGUGAUACAAAGUACAUCACUACUAUAAGCCAAGAGGAAACAAAAUAAAAAUGACCCUUUUUACUGUACAAGGGAAGCCUGUCUUGGUGUCCGUCUGUUGCUUGACUCUCCCGAUUCUUGAGUCCUGGGAGGGGUCUGGGAAUUGGGACCUUAGCACGUGUGGGGAAAGGAGGGGAACGGAAGGGAGAGAGAUCAGGGUCUCUCGCUAAGUUCUGGCUGAGAAGUAGAGAUUGGAGAGAAAAGCAAGGUCCUGCCCACCAACCCCCCACCGCCCCCCCCANNNNNNNNNNNNNNNNNNNCCCCCCCCAGACCCCCACUCACCCAUUGCAUGUGAUGUUCUCCCCACUCCCGGGCCAGUGCUUAACCGUCCACAAAACCCCUUCUUCACCAGUCCACCUGGCAGAGCCCCCCAAGAUGAUGUCAGCCAACCCAGCCGGGCUGGCCUCACUUCUGCCUUUCUCACCAGUACGUUAAGGAAAGAGCUAUGCCGAUGCCCCAAAGCUCGGGCGAGCACGAUGCCCAACAGCCUCCACUCUGCUAGCUAACGCUGGGCCCUGCCCUCCAUCACCCCAACACAUACACCAGCAGACUACGGCUGGUCUCGUUCACAUCCGUGCAGGGGAGACGGGCACCGCUCCCCUCCCUCACCCUGCCCUGCUUUGGGGACAUCCCUCUCUAGGCCAUGUCUCCUGGUCCAGGAACACUCUCAGGAGGAUUCUGAAGUGCCCACUCUAGUCUGGCUGGUAGGUCAGUCCCCAUCCUCCUCCCCUCGGCCCCAGCCUCCAGGCCUGCUGUGGAGGUGAGAUCGCCAUGGGUUACGACUUUGUGACUUGAGUCCUGGGCGUCUUCUGCAAUGAUGCCUAUUUCUUUUCUCAGAUGUUGCCCAAAGUCUUGCAAAAAGCUUCGUUCAUUUUCAGGUACCCCUACCCCCUAAAGAAUCGGCUGCAACUAGCCAGCCAGGGGGACAUCAGGAGAGAGGAGGAAGUCUGGGUCGGGAGGGGCCCAAGGUUUGCACAGAGUCUGCUUUGUGGCUCAGCUCUGUGCCUUCUUGGAUUCCUUUUCCAAGAUGUCCUCCAUUAAAAUGCUCCUGAGGCACCCCCUGCCCCUGCCCCCCACUGCUGUUUGCUGUACAUAGAGGCUAAGUGGGGUGGGGUGGGCGGGUGUGCACGUGUGAUGUGUGUGUGUGAAGAAUGUAUAUAGGUAAAGGGGAGCGUGGUCCAGUGGUUCCAGAAAAGGGGCAGAACUCCUGUGUUCCAUCCCCAGCUCAACCACUGGCUCGCUGUGUGGCCUUGGGCAAGUCACUUAACCUCUCUGUGCCUCAGUUUCCUCAUCUGUAAAAUGGGGAUAAUAAUACUGACCUACCUCACAGGGGUGUUGUGAGGCUUUAACUAAAUGUUUUGUAAAGUGUUUUGAGAUACAGAGGCAAAGGCACUAGGGAAGGGCAAAGAAUUAUUUGGACUUAAGGAAGAUGAAAUGGUACCAUAAAUGCUGCUAUUCUGAGAGCCAUUUUAAACUGCACUGCUCCAAUCACCCCCGCUUCUCAUCACCAGGACAGCAGGUCGAGAAAAUGUCUUUCCUUUCACUUGCUUCUGGGGUUUGUGAUUAUUCUAGACACUUAAUUUUUUUCCCUCGCUGUAUCUCCUUCCCUCACCACCUCGACUUGUUCCCUGUUCCGUUUACGCGGAAAUGGCAGAAAUGCUUGAGAAAUGAGAAUGCAUAAGUGGAUUGGAAGUUUAUAGUCUGAAAUUUCAAUUUUACUUUGUACUGUACAUCUUUUUACUUUAGAAUUUGCAAUAAAGGGUUACGUCAAUCUUG
rnacentral:lncRNA from 1 species